ACCCAAUCUCCAUGCGCCACCUCACUUCCAUUGCACCCAUUUGAAUUCAUGAGAAGGAACUUCUCAUGAAUUUUUUUCCUCACACCAAGCCCUCUCCAUGCCCCACUUUAAUGUGCCAAAUGAAUGGAUAAGGAUGAUUGGUUGGCCAUUCAAAUUUAAAAUAAAGUUUGAAUUUGAAUGGGCAAUCAAUCUUUGCACCUUAUCCCUUUUUUUACGCCUUAUUUAUUACAUGAGAAAAGGUUUCUCAUGAAAUCACUCCAUGCACAAUUUAAGCCACGCCUCAUGCCUUUAGUGGAUAAGGGAUGAGUUGGUGUCCAUUUGAAUUCAAAAUUUGAUUUGAAUUCAAAUGUGCAAUUACUUAUCUUUAUCCUUUCUUUUGGAUAAGAUGUUUGACGUUGUUAUAAAAGGAG
rnacentral:lncRNA from 1 species